rnacentral:rRNA from 1 species
AGAGUUUGAUCCUGGCUCAGAUUGAACGCUGGCGGCAUGCCUUACACAUGCAAGUCGAACGGCAGCACGGGAGCAAUCCUGGUGGCGAGUGGCGAACGGGUGAGUAAUAUAUCGGAACGUGCCCAGUCGUGGGGGAUAACGCAGCGAAAGCUGUGCUAAUACCGCAUACGAUCUACGGAUGAAAGCGGGGGAUCGCAAGACCUCGCGCGAUUGGAGCGGCCGAUAUCAGAUUAGCUAGUUGGCGGGGUAAAAGCCCACCAAGGCGACGAUCUGUAGCUGGUCUGAGAGGACGACCAGCCACACUGGAACUGAGACACGGUCCAGACUCCUACGGGAGGCAGCAGUGGGGAAUUUUGGACAAUGGGCGCAAGCCUGAUCCAGCAAUGCCGCGUGCAGGAUGAAGGCCUUCGGGUUGUAAACUGCUUUUGUACGGAACGAAACGGUCUGUCCUAAUACGAUGGGCUAAUGACGGUACCGUAAGAAUAAGCACCGGCUAACUACGUGCCAGCAGCCGCGGUAAUACGUAGGGUGCGAGCGUUAAUCGGAAUUACUGGGCGUAAAGCGUGCGCAGGCGGUUAUAUAAGACAGAUGUGAAAUCCCCGGGCUCAACCUGGGACCUGCAUUUGUGACUGUAUAGCUAGAGUACGGUAGAGGGGGAUGGAAUUCCGCGUGUAGCAGUGAAAUGCGUAGAUAUGCGGAGGAACACCGAUGGCGAAGGCAAUCCCCUGGACCUGUACUGACGCUCAUGCACGAAAGCGUGGGGAGCAAACAGGAUUAGAUACCCUGGUAGUCCACGCCCUAAACGAUGUCAACUGGUUGUUGGGUCUUCACUGACUCAGUAACGAAGCUAACGCGUGAAGUUGACCGCCUGGGGAGUACGGCCGCAAGGUUG